AGCGGAGCCAGAGAGAGAGAGAAAAGGAGAGAAAAGUUUCCCAGAGUCUUCAUUAGUUGACUUCUCUGUCCACUGCUUCCCCCAGCCGGCGGAGCUCACCCCCAAUAAAGGAAGGAAGGGGGUCUUUAUUUUUUUUUUUAAGGCCCCAAAGAAUCCAGUGUUUACAAGACUAGAAAUGCUACAGCCAUGUCCUGGCAGAAAGGCUGAAAUGGAGGACCGAAGCCUUCCUUAUAAGCUCACUGGGGCCUGAGCCAGCACCAACCCAGUAGAAAAAGCAACCAUGAAGCCAGAGAGGGAAGAGAGCUCCAGACAGAGAUGAAAAGGAACGAUGCGGAGUAAUGCAGAGAAAGGAGGAGGCAGCAGGUCUCAGAACAAGCAAAUGUGGCAGAGAGCAAGACAGGCACUCACAGACAGAGGUUUAUACAUUUUUAUUUACAAUUUU